UUAUGGCCAUAUCACAUUGAAACACUAGUUCCUGUAUGGUCACCAAAGUUAAGCAAUGCCGAGCCUGGCCAGUACUUUGAUGGGUGACCACUUGAGAAUAUCAGAUGUUGUAAGC